rnacentral:rRNA from 1 species
CCCGGCGCACGGGUGAGUAACGCGUAUGCAACUUGCCUAUCAGAGGGGGACAACCCGGCGAAAGUCGGACUAAUACCGCAUGAAACAGGGGCCCCGCAUGGGGAUAUUUGCUAAAGAUUCAUCGCUGAUAGAUAGGCAUGCGUUCCAUUAGGCAGUUGGCGGGGUAACGGCCCACCAAACCGACGAUGGAUAGGGGUUCUGAGAGGAAGGUCCCCCACAUUGGUACUGAGACACGGACCAA